rnacentral:rRNA from 1 species
GAUGAACGCUGGCGGUGUGCCUAAUACAUGCAAGUCGAGCGAACAGACGAGGAGCUUACUCCUCUGACGUUAGCGGCGGACGGGUGAGUAACACGUGGAUAACCUACCUAUAAGACUGGGAUAACUUCGGGAAACCGGAGCUAAUACCGGAUAACAUGUUGAACCGCAUGGUUCAACAGUGAAAGACGGUCUUGCUGUCACUUAUAGAUGGAUCCGCGUCGCAUUAGCUAGUUGGUAAGGUAACGGCUUACCAAGGCAACGAUGCGUAGCCGACCUGAGAGGGUGAUCGGCCACACUGGAACUGAGACACGGUCCAGACUCCUACGGGAGGCAGCAGUAGGGAAUCUUCCGCAAUGGGCGAAAGCCUGACGGAGCAACGCCGCGUGAGUGAAGAAGGUCUUCGGAUCGUAAAACUCUGUUAUUAGAGAAGAACAAAUGUGUAAGUAACUAUGCACGUCUUGACGGUACCUAAUCAGAAAGCCACGGCUAACUACGUG